CUGUAAUGUCUCCUGCCAUCAUUGUAAGAAGUAAUUGAAGUAAUGAGAAUUUCAUUAUUCCUGUUUAUGUUCCAGUGAGAUGCUCAGUGCUCAGACUGUGGUCCUGGACAAGUAAUAUCAACCUUAAACAAAGAAAUAUUAGGACCUCUGUUUCUCAGCCCCUCCCUGAGACAUCCCAAGUCAGAACCUCAAGUUCACAUCAAGUCUGACUGCCAGCAACUGUAAGCAACUUUUAGUUCUGUAAGUAAUUCCCCCCCCCCCCUGUAGAGUUCCUUGGAAAACUGAAACAUGCCUGACUUCUCUGUUUUGCACGUAGGAUAUACUUGACAAGUGCUAAAUGGACGAUAGUAUGAAGACCUUAACCUGUAUGGUCUUAAAUCCCACCCACCACUUGGAGCUCUUCCACCCAUCCCUUUCUGCUGUGAUAGCGGAAAUUCUUGAGCAACAGAAUGUCAGAGCACCUACCAUACUGCUUUGGGUAACACUGGUCAGAUCUUCCUCAUCAACCUCUUGGUGAGACAUCCAAGUGAGACUGCCAGUGAUCACUGCUUCUGCAAGCUGGAAGCAGAGGGUAUAAUACAGACUUCACUUAAAAGCAUGAGAAAGAGACAAGGGUAUUCUGGGAGCAUCUCAGCCAAAGCAGAGAAGAGACUUUACAUAAAGCUCUCCCAGGGCCCAGUUUCAUCUGCCUUGGAAUCCGGCACAGCAGGAAAUCAACUUGCUGAAACAAGCCACAUCCUCAAUAACCCAUAGCCACAGAGACAGAAAAUGAGAACUUUCUAUCUGAGGAUUUAAAGGGUACCAGGAAAAAUACAAAGGAAAUAUGGAGAAUGACUUAACUAAAUCCAAAAAGUUAGUCCGAGAAAAUACAUUUCUUAUGUAAGAUCCAUCUACCCCACACUUUAUAAGUCCCAACUCACUUCAUGUCUUAAUUGAUAGUUGAACA
rnacentral:lncRNA from 1 species